CCUACGGGUGGCAGCAGUGAGGAAUAUUGGUCAAUGGGCGGGAGCCUGAACCAGCCAAGCCGCGUGAGGGAAGAAGGUACAGCGUAUCGUAAACCUCUUUUGUCAGGGAACAAAGGCGGGGACUAGUCCCCGGAUGAGGGUACCUGAAGAAAAAGCAUCGGCUAACUCCGUUCCAGCAGCCGCGGUAAUAGGGAGGAUGCGGGCGUUAUCGGGAUUUAUUGGGUUUAAGGGGUGCGCGGGCGGCCUGUUAAGUCGGCGGGAAAAGCCCGGGGCUCAACCCCGGCGUGCCGUUGAAACUGGGGGGCUGGAGUUGGAGAGAGGUACGCGGAAUGCGCGGGGUAGCGGUGAAAUGCGUAGAUAUCGCGCAGAACCCCGAUUGCGAAGGCAGCGUACCGGCUCCAAACUGACGCUGAGGCACGAAAGCGUGGGUAUCGAACAGGAUUAGAUACCCGGGUAGUC
rnacentral:rRNA from 1 species